rnacentral:rRNA from 1 species
CCAUGAAUCUGGUCUUGGGACACUGUCAGGUGGGCAGUUUGACUGGGGCGGUCGCCUCCCAAAAGGUAACGGAGGCGCUCAAAGGUUCUCUCAGUACGGUCGGAAAUCGUACGUAGAGUGUAAAGGCAAAAGAGAGCUUGAUUGCAAGACAUACAGGUCGAGCAAGGAUGAAAAUCGGACUUAGUGAUCCGGUGGGUCUGCGUGGAAGGGCCAUCGCUCAACGGAUAAAAGCUACCCUGGGGAUAACAGGCUUAUCUCCCCCAAGAGUCCACAUCGACGGGGAGGUUUGGCACCUCGAUGUCGGCUCAUCCCAUCCUGGGGCUGUAGUAGGUCCCAAGGGUUGGGCUGUUCGCCCAUUAAAGUGGUACGCGAGCUGGGUUCAGAACGUCGUGAGACAGGUCGGUGCCUAUGCGUCUCAGGCGUAGGAAAUUUGAGAAGACAUGUCCUUAGUACGAGAGGAGCGGUAUGGAAGUACCUUUGGUGUACAAGUUGUUAUGCAAAGGGCAUGGAUGGGUAGCUAUGUA